rfam:Myotis davidii contig206526, whole genome shotgun sequence.
GGUGAUUCUCGAGUGACACACCCUGGAAUUGGGCUCCCUCCUCUCCGGUUCCAUGUGUGUCACCCAAGAAUCACA